CGUUAGAGCAUUGAGAGGACCUUUCCCUAGUACGAGAGGACCGGGAAGGACGCACCUUUGGUGUACCAAUUAUCGUGCCCACGAUAAACACUAGGUAGCCAAGUGCGGAGCAGAUAACUGCUGAAAGCAUCUAAGUAGUAAGCCCACCCCAAGAUGAGUGGUCUCGGAUUUCGACUUCCCUGGAGCCUCUAGUUGCACAGUCGAGACAGCGACGGGUUCUCUGUCCUUGUGGGGAUGGAGUGACAGAAGUUUUGAGAAUUUAGGAGAAGGUCACGGUGAGAUGAACCAUUUAUCAUUACGAUAGGUCUCAAGUGGAAGUGCAGUGAUGUAUGCAACUGAGACAUCCUAACAGACCAG
rnacentral:ncRNA from 1 species